CGGCGGACGGGUGAGUAACGCGUGGGUAACCUGCCUCAUACAGGGGGAUAACAGUUAGAAAUGACUGCUAAUACCGCAUAAGACCACAGCACCGCAUGGUGCGGGGGUAAAAACUCCGGUGGUAUGAGAUGGACCCGCGUCUGAUUAGCUAGUUGGUAAGGUAACGGCUUACCAAGGCGACGAUCAGUAGCCGACCUGAGAGGGUGACCGGCCACAUUGGGACUGAGGCACGGCCCAA
rnacentral:rRNA from 1 species